rnacentral:rRNA from 1 species
AACGAACGCUGGCGGCAGGCCUAACACAUGCAAGUCGAGCGAAGCCUUCGGGCUUAGCGGCGGACGGGUGAGUAACGCGUGGGAACGUGCCCUUUGGUACGGAAUAGCCCCGGGAAACUGGGAGUAAUACCGUAUGUGGUCGAGAGACGAAAGAUUUAUCGCCAAAGGAUCGGCCGCGUUGGAUUAGGUAGUUGGUGGGGUAAUGGCCUACCAAGCCGACGAUCCAUAGCUGGUUUGAGAGGAUGAUCGGCCACACUGGGACUGAGACACGGCCCAGACUCCUACGGGAGGCAGCAGUGGGGAAUCUUAGACAAUGGGGGAAACCCUGAUCUAGCCAUGCCGCGUGAUCGAUGAAGGCCUUAGGGUUGUAAAGAUCUUUCAGUGGGGAAGAUAAUGACUGUACCCACAGAAGAAGCCCCGGCUAACUCCGUGCCAGCAGCCGCCGUAACAC